CAGUCGCCGCGGGAAUACGUAGGGUGCGAGCGUUAAUCGGAAUUACUGGGUGUAAAGCGUGCGCAGGCGGUUGUGUAAGACAGGUGUGAAAUCCCCGGGCUUAACCUGGGAACUGCGCUUGUGACUGCACAGCUAGAGUAUGGCAGAGGGGGGUGGAAUCCCACGUGUAGCAGUGAAAUGCGUAGAGAUGUGGAGGAACACCGAUGGCGAAGGCAGCCCCCUGGGCCAAUACUGACGCUCAUGCACGAAAGCGUGGGGAGCAAACAGGAUUAGAUACCCGCGUAGUCCCUGUCUCUUAUAC
rnacentral:rRNA from 1 species